rnacentral:rRNA from 1 species
CGGUGAAUACGUUCCCGGGCCUUGUACACACCGCCCGUCAAGCCAUGAAAGUUGGGAGUAUUUAAAGUAGGUAGCCGCAAGGCGCCUCCUAGAGUAAAACCGAUAAUUGGGGCU